GAAAUUAUGACAUAAUCGGGGCCUGGAGCUAAUCCAGAGUUGCUUGCCAUGAGCUCUGUUCCCAUUCCCUGGAGUAAGGUUAGGCCUUGGGUGGCCCACCCAUGCUGCCAAAUAUGCAGGGCGGCAGCAACCCUCAUGGGCCCUUAAAGAUCAUAUGGGGCACGGCUGGAUUCUGCAGCCCUCUUGUAUAUCACAUGGGAACACUGCGGGGUGUGAGUGAUGGAACUGGGUCACACUGUGGCAACCCAGCACAGUCCAGAUUCAGAGCCAGGUUUGCAGUUCUCAGAGGCUGGGAAAGCAGGCCUCCAUCAAGCUAAACAGAGAUCUUUCCCAUUUUUUUUAAUAAAAGUUACUUCUUUUGCAAAUUUGUCCUCCUCACCUUAUGUAGGAAGAUGCUAUAGGAGUCUUUUAUUGUAAUAAGGUAGUCAAAGGCACAAGAAGUCGAACUGUGUAAAAAGAGUUUCGAAAAGUACAGGGAAGAGUGAAAUCAUGUGAUUCUCCACCAUUCCUCUAGACUCUGGAGUAGACGCGAUGCUACCUUGUGCCCUCUUUAGAGCUAAGGGCCCCUCCCCGGUAGAAUGUCAAAGGCAAGACCUUUGGAGCUGCGCCUCUAUGAGAGUCUAUUGUCCCAGUCCAUGGGCCUCGGACGCUUCUCCCCACCUCCCAUUUUCAAAGCCGCCCGGUAGGCGCCCGGUGUACGCGGUGCACCGGGAGUCUGCGCCUGUCACGCCGGCUCGGUCCCUGCCACAUGGUUCUCAAUUCGGCCCUCUGUCCAGUCCUGUCCUCAGGUUUCCUGGAUACUUAGUUCGUAAGGACAGUCGAGGUAUCUAUGAAUUUUCGCCUGUAUGCUCCGCUCACAUGGCGGACACGAACCGAUCCACUGCGCCUGGAUAGGCAGCCGCGUGGCGAGCGUGGUAGGCGCCUCCACCGCCCGCUCCAAGCUGCCCACCAGGAUUGUAGCAGGGCCCCAGCGCUCCGAACUGGCCCGGCGAUGUGCGCCCAUAGAAGUCCACCGCAGUCUCGACGCCGCCGCUGCUGCCACCCGCGGGGGGCGAAGCGGGCCCGGCCAACCGGCCAGUCGCUGCGAAGAGGGCCCCGCUGGCCCCUUGCGAGUACGUGCCGUCGGGGCCGGCAUAGGCGGCCGCAUAGGCGGAAGUGUUGGCGGGUCGGGCACCGGCGCAGCCGGCUGGCUGGUAAGCGGUGCUAGCGGCAGAGCCGCCGGCCGAGGCAAAGGAGCAGGAACCGGCGGGCCCAGAUGGCGCGGGGCCCAGUUCUGGGCUGAGCGGCCGCUCAGGCACCAGGCCGAAGACGCGGCACGGGCCUGGCGAAGCAGCCGGGUAGUAGACCGGGGGCGGCGCGGCGAGCGACGGUGCGGCAUAGCCUGCAUAGACCGCGCCAGGGUAAGGAGGGCGCGCAGCGGGCACCCCACCCGGGAAGAUGGCGGCGGCGGCGGCGGCCGCAGCGGCGGCGGCGGCGGCGGCCGCGUCCUGCAUGUAAGCCGGCUGCUCUCAUUUUGGAAGGUCUUCUGGUCCCCGUGUGAGAGUCCUCAGCCCCUUACUGUGCUGGGCACUGGUAGGGUGCCAGGGAUGUGAAAUGAAUGAGACAAGGAAUGAAGUACUGACACAUGCCGCAACAUGGAUGAAUUUCAAAAAAAAAAAAAAAUCAUGGUAAGUAAAAGAAGCCAGACACAAAAGACUACAUAUCAUAUGAUUCCACCUAUAUGAAGGGUCCAGGAAAAGCAAAUUUAUAAAUACAGAAAGCAGAUUAGUGGUUGCCUGGGGCUGGGGCUGGGAAUGGGGAGUGAUGGGCAUGAGGGAAAUUAGGGGGAUGAUGGAAACAUCCUUAAACUGGACUAGAUGGUAAUUGCACAGCUCUGUAGAUUUAUGUUGUAAGUUUUGAAUUAUAUACUUAGAAUAUAUUAAUNNNNNNNNNNNNNNNNNNNNNNNNNNNNNNNNNNNNNNNNNNNNNNNNNNNNNNNNNNNNNNNNNNNNNNNNNNNNNNNNNNNNNNNNNNNNNNNNNNNUUAUAUACUUAGAAUAUAUUAAUUUAAUGGUGUAUAAAUUAUACUUCAAUUCAGUUAAAAAGAACUCAUGAGGUCCCUGCCUCUUCUUCAGGAAUAUGGACCUUCCUCAGGAAGAGGCGUUGGCAGGACACACACUGGACAUCCUGAGGUGGAGCCAGCGUGUAUCAGAGACAGUGCUGGGCGCUGAGAGGAGGAGGGGGCAGGCGGGAGGGGUGUGCUUGACUCAUUUUCACUUUGGGAAAUAGGUACUGCACGCUCUGCACGUUUUAUCCUUCCCCCACCAGCAAAUGUUUCAUGCCUAGCCUGGGACAGGGCCACCACGACCCUGCUUGUGUCUGCACUGGUUGGUCUAUGCUAUCCUCGUGGUUUUCUGAUGGUCAGCCAAGGGUGGGAAUUUCAACCCACUCCAGCCAGUCUCAGAACAUGGAGGCCUAGAAGGGGAAAGGGCUGUGACUCUGGUUCAGACAGCAACUGGGUGAAUUUAAACCCAGGUCUCCAGCACCCCAUGCUUCUACUUCUUUCCAGCAGUCUCUCUGGACUCCUGCAUUGCAGGCUGUUUAGGACAAGGCUGGGAGGUCCUGGACUUUCCCUUCUGAGACGCUGGAAAUCUGGACUUGAGGUCAAGCUUUCUCUUGGGGACCAAGGAUCUGGUUUUGCACAGUGGGGGUGUGAGAUGAGUGAGCUCUCCUGAACACUGAUCUCUGUUGAAUAAGGGCCUUACUCUAGGGAGCUUGGUAGUUCCAACCUGCCCAGGAGCUUGUGACAUCCCAGCCCCUGGGCCAGCUCUUGGAGGUGAGUCACAGGGAAGGAGAAGAUAAUUCCAUUAUGGAAGGGGGCCACCCACUGGGGCUUUAUUAUCCAGCAUAAUAGAAAAGUAAUUGCCUUCGUUUAUCCAGUGCCUAAUAUGAACCAGACACUGUGGUAGGUGCUUCCCUGGCUUUAUCCCACUUAAUCCUCACAGUAGCAGGCAAAAGGUAGGUGGUAGGAUUUGUAUUUUACUGAAGAGGAAACUGAGGCUCAGAGAGGUGAGGCAACCUAGUAUGCACUCCCUGCCCAUAUCUGCCUGUUGAAAUCUUACUCAUGGCAUGAGACCCGUCUCUGGUGCCAUAGCUCUCCUUAGAGCCGCCUCAUUACCUCCACUGUAUCUCUCCCCCAUGGCACUCAGGCUGUCAGCUGUGGUUCUCUGAGUUUGUGUCCAGUUGCCCCACAAGACUGGGAGUUCCUGGAGGGCAGGAAGCUGGCCCAACUGGGCUCUGCCUUCCCAGAGCCUGGCAAGGCCUCCUGGGAACAUGGGUUGGAUUGACUCUCAAUAUACAAAUUGAGUCAAGAUUUACAGGUUACAAUAAGAAGGAAGAAUACAAAGUCAGCAAUGGUGAAAGUAAGUUGUAAUCCUCUUAUCCACCCAAUGAAGUAGAAAUAAUGAUCUUCAUUAAAAAACAAUAAGGAUAGCGUCCCAGAGAGCCUGAGUUAGUUGACCGAGGUCACGCUGCCAGCAAGUAGUGGGGCUAGAUUCAACCCCUGGCCUGUCUGACUCCAAGCCUAUGUUCUUUUCAUCGUUCUAGGGAAGUUCCUGGAUUUUAGUCUUUUGAUCCUCCUUUACAAUUUGCACCAUAUCCAUCAACCACCUGUGAGACGGCUUAAUAUUUGUUCUUUAAAUCAAUUCACUAUUUAGGAAACAUAAAUUUAUUCUAAAAAGAAACUUUAGAUGGAAGCCUAGUAUCAUUUAAGGUAAUUAAAUUAAUUAGUUAUUAUAAGUAAGUUCACCCCAGUUUCUCCUUUGCUGGUGUAUGCCUUUGCUCUGGGGAAUCCAAGUCACACCUCCUCUCCCAUGUGUUUUACACUGUCCCCACAAUCCCUUUUAAAUCUCUUCUCACCUCCUCUCCUGUUUNNNNNNNNNNNNNNNNNNNNNNNNNNNNNNNNNNNNNNNNNNNNNNNNNNNNNNNNNNNNNNNNNNNNNNNNNNNNNNNNNNNNNNNNNNNNNNNNNNNAAUCCCUUUUAAAUCUCUUCUCACCUCCUCUCCUGUUUACUGUCCAUUUUCUCACAUGAUGCUCAGAGUCCUGGAAAGUGAGUAUUAGAAAGGACAUGGAAAGUUUCAUCGUGUCAGUGAGUCUGAACGAGCUUGUGACUUGCUCACAGGCACAUGUGAAUCAGUGGUCAUGUGGCUUAAGUUCCAUAGAGGUUUUCACUGCUCACAUUUCAUUAACCAGAAGUAGUCACACCUUACUGCGAGAGAUCAGGAAGUGUAGACUCCCAGGGAAGGCGAGGAGA
ensembl:lncRNA